UACGUAGGGUGCGAGCGUUGUCCGGAAUUAUUGGGCGUAAAGGGCUCGUAGGCGGUUUGUCACGUCGGGAGUGAAAACCCAGGGCUCAACCCUGGGCCUGCUUCCGAUACGGGCAGACUAGAGGUAUGCAGGGGAGAACGGAAUUCCUGGUGUAGCGGUGAAAUGCGCAGAUAUCAGGAGGAACACCGGUGGCGAAGGCGGUUCUCUGGGCAUUACCUGACGCUGAGGAGCGAAAGUGUGGGGAGCGAACAGG
rnacentral:rRNA from 1 species